rnacentral:rRNA from 1 species
AUACGUAGGGUGCGAGCGUUAAUCGGAAUUACUGGGCGUAAAGCGUGCGCAGGCGGUUUUGUAAGCCAGAUGUGAAAUCCCCGGGCUUAACCUGGGAAUUGCAUUUGGGACUGCAAGGCUGGUGCGUGGGAGAGGAGACUGGAAUUCCUGGUGGAGCAGUGAAAUGCGUAGAUAUCAGGAGGAAUACCGAUGGCGAAGGCAGGUCUCUGGGCUGACACUGACGCUCAUGCACGAAAGCGUGGGGAGCAAACAGGAUUAGAUACCCUGGUAGUCCACGCCCUAAACGAUGUCGACUGGUUGUUGGGGGUUUGACACUCUCAGUAACGAAGCUAACGCGUGAAGUCGACCGCCUGGGGAGUACGGCCGCAAGGUUAAAACUCAAAGGAAUUGACGGGG